AACGAACGCUGGCGGCAUGCCUAACACAUGCAAGUCGAACGAGACCUUCGGGUCUAGUGGCGCACGGGUGCGUAACGCGUGGGAACCUGCCCUUAGGUUCGGAAUAACUCCCCGAAAGGGGUGCUAAUACCGGAUAAUGUCUUCGGACCAAAGAUUUAUCGCCUUUGGAUGGGCCCGCGUUGGAUUAGCUAGUUGGUAGGGUAAAAGCCUACCAAGGCGACGAUGCAUAGCUGGUCUGAGAGGAUGAUAAUCCACACUGGGACUGAGACACGGCCCAGACUCCUACGGGAGGCAGCAGUGGGGAAUAUUAGACAAUGGGCGAAAGCCUGAUCCAGCAAUGCCGCGUGAGUGAUGAAGGCCUUAGGGUUGUAAAGCUCUUUUACCCGGGAUGAUAAUGACAGUACCGGGAGAAUAAGCUCCGGCUAACUCCGUG
rnacentral:rRNA from 1 species